AGAGUUUGAUCCUGGCUCAGGAUGAACGCUGGCGGCGUGCUUAACACAUGCAAGUCGAGCGAAGCGAUUUAAGUGAAGUUUUCGGAUGGAUCUUAAAUUGACUGAGCGGCGGACGGGUGAGUAACGCGUGGAUAACCUGCCUCACACAGGGGGAUAACAGUUAGAAAUGACUGCUAAUACCGCAUAAGCGCACGGUACCGCAUGGUACAGUGUGAAAAACUCCGGUGGUGUGAGAUGGAUCCGCGUCUGAUUAGGUAGUUGGUGAGGUAACGGCCCACCAAGCCGACGAUCAGUAGCCGACCUGAGAGGGUGACCGGCCACAUUGGGACUGAGACACGGCCCAAACUCCUACGGGAGGCAGCAGUGGGGAAUAUUGCACAAUGGGCGAAAGCCUGAUGCAGCAACGCCGCGUGAGUGAAGAAGUAUCUCGGUAUGUAAAGCUCUAUCAGCAGGGAAGAAAAUGACGGUACCUGACUAAGAAGCCCCGGCUAACUACGUGCCAGCAGCCGCGGUAAUACGUAGGGGGCAAGCGUUAUCCGGAUUUACUGGGUGUAAAGGGAGCGUAGGUGGCACUGCAAGUCUGAAGUGAAAGCCCGGGGCUCAACCCCGGGACUGCUUUGGAAACUGUAGAGCUAGAGUGCUGGAGAGGCAAGCGGAAUUCCUAGUGUAGCGGUGAAAUGCGUAGAUAUUAGGAAGAACACCAGUGGCGAAGGCGGCUUGCUGGACAGUAACUGACGUUCAGGCUCGAAAGCGUGGGGAGCAAACAGGAUUAGAUACCCUGGUAGUCCACGCCGUAAACGA
rnacentral:rRNA from 1 species